GAGACACGGUCCAGACUCCUACGGGAGGCAGCAGUGAGGAAUUUUCCGCAAUGGGCGAAAGCCUGACGGAGCAAUACCGCGUGAUGGAUGAAGGCUCGUGGGUCGUAAACAUCUUUUCCCAAGGAAGAAGUUCUGACGGUACUUGGGGAAUAAGCAUCGGCUAAUUCCGUGCCAGCAGCCGCGGUAAUACGGGAGAUGCAAGCGUUAUCCGGAAUCACUGGGCGUAAAGCGUCUGUAGGUGGUUUAUUAAGUCUGUUGUUAAAAACUGAAGCUCAACUUCAGGGGUGCGACGGAAACUGAUAAACUUGAGUAUGGUAGGGGUAGGAGGAAUUUCUAGUGUAGCGGUGAAAUGCGUAGAUAUUAGGAAGAACACCAUUAGCGAAGGCGUCCUACUGGGCCAUAACUGACACUCAGAGACGAAAGCUAGGGUAGCAAACGGGAUUAGAUACCCCGGUAGUCCUAGCCGUAAACGAUGGAUACUAGAUGUCGCGGGUUUACCUGCGGUGUCGUAGCUAACGCGUUAAGUAUCCCGCCUGGGAAGUACGCACGCAAGUGUGAAACUCAAAGGAAUUGACGGGGACCCGCACAAGCGGUGGAUGAUGUGGAUUAAUUCGAUGCAACGCGUAGAACCUUACCUGGGUUUGACAUGG
rnacentral:rRNA from 1 species